rnacentral:pre_miRNA from 1 species
CAAGUACUCCCUCCGCCCGAAAAUACUUGUCAUCAAAAUGGAUAGAAAGGGAUGUAUCUAGAACUAAAAUACGUCUAGAUACAUUCCCUUUUAUUCAUUUUGAUGACAAGUAUUUCCGGACGGAGGGAGUAAAUA